rnacentral:rRNA from 1 species
AACGUAGGAGACGAACGUUAUCCGGAGUUACUGGGCGUAAAGAGCUCGUAGGCGGUUUGUCGCGUCUGCUGUGAAAACCCGAGGCUCAACCUCGGGCCUGCAGUGGGUACGGGCAGACUAGAGUGCGGUAGGGGAGAUUGGAAUUCCUGGUGUAGCGGUGGAAUGCGCAGAUAUCAGGAGGAACACCGAUGGCGAAGGCAGAUCUCUGGGCCGUAACUGACGCUGAGGAGCGAAAGCAUGGGGAGCGAACGGG